rnacentral:tRNA from 1 species
GGGUCGGUGUCCGAGUGGUUAAUGGAGGCGGACUGUAAAUCCGCUGGCUUAGCCUACGCUGGUUCGAAUCCAGCUCGGCCCAC